GGUUUUAACCCAAGUUAACCAAGGUUAGCAUCAAAUUCGACCUUUCUUUGAAAGAAGAAUGUGUUGAAAGUGUUCGUAACUUUUGGAACCGCUUUUCCGGGGUUUCCGGAGAAGCAAA
rfam:Caenorhabditis japonica strain DF5081 Contig16521.1, whole genome shotgun sequence.